UACGAAGGGGGCUAGCGUUGCUCGGAAUCACUGGGCGUAAAGGGCGCGUAGGCGGCUUUUUAAGUCGGGGGUGAAAGCCUGUGGCUCAACCACAGAAUUGCCUUCGAUACUGGAAAGCUUGAGACCGGAAGAGGACAGCGGAACUGCGAGUGUAGAGGUGAAAUUCGUAGAUAUUCGCAAGAACACCAGUGGCGAAGGCGGCUGUCUGGCCCGGUUCUGACGCUGAGGCGCGAAAGCGUGGGGAGCAAACAGG
rnacentral:rRNA from 1 species